rnacentral:misc_RNA from 1 species
AAGCAGCAUAGAGGCACAAAGUAA